UUAAUAAUAAGUUAAGUUCUGCAACUACAAGAGAGCUUUUAUAUAGAGGUGACAAGAAGAAAU
rnacentral:sRNA from 1 species